rnacentral:rRNA from 1 species
GGAUUCCCCUAGUAACUGCGAGUGAAGCGGGAAGAGCUCAAAUUUAAAAUCUGGCGGUCUCUGGCCGUCCGAGUUGUAAUCUAGAGAAGUGUUACCCGCGCUGGACCGUGUACAAGUCUCCUGGAAUGGAGCGUCAUAGAGGGUGAGAAUCCCGUCUCUGACACGGACUACCAGGGCUUUGUGGUACGCUCUCAAAGAGUCGAGUUGUUUGGGAAUGCAGCUCAAAAUGGGUGGUAAAUUCCAUCUAAAGCUAAAUAUUGGCGAGAGACCGAUAGCGAACAAGUACCGUGAGGGAAAGAUGAAAAGAACUUUGGAAAGAGAGUUAAACAGUACGUGAAAUUGCUGAAAGGGAAACGCUUGAAGUCAGUCGCGUUGGCCGGGGAUCAGCCUCACUUUUGUGUGGUGUACUUUCUGGUUGACGGGUCAGCAUCAAUUUUGACCGCUGGAAAAAGGCUUGGGGAAUGUGGCAGCUUCGGCUGUGUUAUAGCCCCUUGUCACAUACAGCGGUUGGGAUUGAGGAACUCAGCACGCCGCAAGGCCGGGUUUCGACCACGUUCGUGCUUAGGAUGCUGGCAUAAUGGCUUUAAGCGACCCGUCUUGAAACACGGACCAAGGAGUCUAACAUGCCUGCGAGUGUUUGGGUGGAAAACCCGAGCGCGUAAUGAAAGUGAAAGUUGAGAUCCCUGUCGUGGGGAGCAUCGACGCCCGGACCAGAACUUUUGGGACGGAUCCGCGGUAGAGCAUGUAUGUUGGGACCCGAAAGAUGGUGAACUAUGCCUGAAUAGGGUGAAGCCAGAGGAAACUCUGGUGGAGGCUCGUAGCGAUUCUGACGUGCAAAUCGAUCGUCAAAUUUGGGUAUAGGGGCGAAAGACUAAU